UGGUGGAGUGAUUUGUCUGGCUAAUUCCGUUAACGAACGAGACCCCUGCCUGCUAAAUAGUUGCCGGAGUGUAUUUUCACUGCGGUGAGCUUCUUAGAGGGACGUGCAUUCUAUUAGAUGCAGGAAGAUAGGGGCAAUAACA
rnacentral:rRNA from 1 species